GAUGAACGCUGGCGGCGUGCCUAAUACAUGCAAGUCGAGCGAGCAGAUAAGGAGCUUGCUCCUUUGACGUUAGCGGCGGACGGGUGAGUAACACGUGGGUAACCUACCUAUAAGACUGGGAUAACUUCGGGAAACCGGAGCUAAUACCGGAUAACAUUUGGAACCGCAUGGUUCUAAAGUGAAAGAUGGUUUUGCUAUCACUUAUAGAUGGACCCGCGCCGUAUUAGCUAGUUGGUAAGGUAACGGCUUACCAAGGCGACGAUACGUAGCCGACCUGAGAGGGUGAUAGGCCACACUGGAACUGAGACACGGUCCAGACUCCUACGGGAGGCAGCAGUAGGGAAUCUUCCGCAAUGGGCGAAAGCCUGACGGAGCAACGCCGCGUGAGUGAUGAAGGGUUUCGGCUCGUAAAACUCUGUUAUUAGGGAAGAACAAACGUGUAAGUAACUGUGCACGUCUUGACGGUACCUAAUCAGAAAGCCACGGCUAACUACGUG
rnacentral:rRNA from 1 species